rnacentral:rRNA from 1 species
CCUACGGGAGGCUGCAGUGGGGAAUAUUGGGCAAUGGAGGAAACCCUGACCCAGCAACGCCGCGUGAAUGAUGAAGGUCUUCGGAUUGUAAAGCUCUUUUCUUGGGGAAGAAGAGAGUGCCAGUACCUCAGGAAUCAACCUCGUCUAACUACGCGCCAGCAGCCGCGGUAAUACGUAGGAGGCGAGCGUUAUGCGGAAUGACUGGUCGUAAAGGGUGAGUAGGUGGGUUGUCAAGUUAGUAGCGUAACUCCACGGCUCAACCCUAGAACUACUACUACGACUGUUGGUCGUGAGUGCAGGAGAGGCAAGCGGAAUUCCUAGUGUAGCGGUGGAAUGCGUAGAUAUUAGGAGGAACACCAGUGGCGAAGGCGGGUUGCUAGACUGUAACUGACACUGAGGCACGAAAGCGUGGGGAGCAAACAGGAUUAGAUACCCUAGUAGUC